rnacentral:rRNA from 1 species
AAUGUUUCGCUAUGGAGGAGCCUCUGACGCAGCGCCGCCGCGCGAGCGAAGAAGGUCUUCGGAUCGUAAAGCUAAGUCCUUUCGGCAGAAGAGCGAAAGCUUUGACGUUACCCGUGGAGGAAGCCCCGGCUAACUACGUGCCGGCAGCCGCGGUAAUACGUAGGGGGCCAGCGUUGUCCGGAAUUAUUGGGCGUAAAGGGUGCGUAGGCGGCUUGUUAAGUCAGAUGUGAAAGACCACGGAUUAACCGUGGGGUUGCAUUUGAAGCUGGAAGGCUUGAGUAUCGGAGAGGGUAGUGGAACAUCCAGUGUAGCGGUGAAAUGCGUAGAUAUUGGGAGGAACACCAGUGGCGAAGGCGACUACCUGGACGAAAACUGACGCUGAUGCACGAAAGCUAGGGGAGCAAAC